rnacentral:rRNA from 1 species
AUGCAGAGAACACGUGAUGAUCUGGAGAAGAAGCUACAUGAUUCAAAUACAACACCAAUGUUUUUUCCACUUGAAUUUUUGAAGGCCAUCACAUGUGAUUUUUCCACUGAGUCGGUACUAGGUGAAGGUGGGUUUGGAGUGGUUUACAAGGGAGUUCUUCGAAGUGGCAAAGUUAUUGCUGUGAAGAAGCUUUUUGAAAUCCGUCUAAAAGAGGACACAUUCCAGAAUGAAGUACGCUAUCUUAUGGGGAUUAAGCACCAGAAUAUAGUACAGUUCCUAGGUUAUUGUGCGGAAUCAAGUUGGGAAGCGAUAGAGCAACCUAGUGGUAGUGGAAAAUUUAUUUUUGGUGAAUUACCGAAAAGGUUGCUCUGCUUCGAGUACGUAUGCAACAAAAGCCUCGACAACCAUAUUUCUGAUGAAUCUUCAGGCCUUGAGUGGAAUAUGAGAUACGAGAUAAUUAAGGGGAUUUGCAAUGGGUUGCAUUUCCUUCAUGAAGAAUGUCAUAUGGUUCAUCUCGACCUUAAGCCUGAAAAUAUAUUGAUGGACUCUACUAUGAUCCCAAAAAUCGCUGAUUUUGGUUUAUCGAGGAUCUUUGGUGAGCAGCAAACACGAAUUGUCACUGAUAAUCGUGCGGGAACAUGUGGAUAUAUGGCACCAGAAUACUUAAUCCGAGGUGUAGUCUCAAACAAGGCAGAUAUAUUUAGUCUGGGUGUCAUACUCAUAGAGAUAAUAACAGGUGACAGGGACUAUCCAUAUUUCCACCAUGACAGUUCCCAGCGUGAUGCCACAACUUUCCAGCAGUUUACAGAGAAAGUUCUUGAAAAUUGGAGGAAUAGAUUCACAUCCACACCGAAGUAUACAAAGGAAAAAUAUGCGCACCAAGUAAAGCAGUGUGUCACCAUAGCCCUAAACUGUGUGGAUCCUAGUAUGGAGAAAAGACCUACUGCAAAGCAUAUAAUCCAGGUGUUUAAUGUAGCAGACAAGAUGGAAACUCACGAAGAGUUGCCGUCAGUCGUGCAGUGCGUAGACAAGUUACUCGCACUAAACACUACUGGAAGCAAGGAACUCACGCCCAUGAGUGCCACUGAAGAAAUGUUGAUCAUCAAAGCAGCUACUGGUAAACAAGUGGAUGAGGCCAAGUCUGAGGGUUUGUUACCGAUGCCUACAAUAGAGCCGAGCACAAUCAGACAGAGUUAUCAAGAGGGAGUAAAGGCAUGUAAUGAGCGACAAUCAGCCACUGAGACUGAGUCUGAGGUUUGGAGUCUUGAUUCUCCCAAAUCCAAGUAUACUCUGUCUGGACAUUCGGAUUGGGUGCACAAGGUGGAUUUAUUCAAGCGUGAUGGUCAGCAGUAUUUGAUUAAUGGCUCUUGGGACAAGACUGCCAAGAUAUGGGACUUGCAGAAGGAGUGUGUUCAUACACUGGAACAUGAGUGUGAGUCUAGAGACUAUUCCAUCUUUGCCCAUCCCAGUCUUCCGGUUCUAAUUACAGGUACAAGCAAUGGUGUUGUUCGUGUGUGGAGCUCCACUGAUUUCAGGCUGAAGAAAAAGCUUGAGGUCAGUGGGCCGGUUUAUGGUCUCGCAUGUUUGAUGGGGUCAGAAAGGGUUGCAGUUGCACAAUUUUAUGCAGUAUCGUGA